rnacentral:rRNA from 1 species
AGUGAACGCUGGCGGUAGGCCUAACACAUGCAAGUCGAACGGCAGCACAGUAAGAGCUUGCUCUUACGGGUGGCGAGUGGCGGACGGGUGAGGAAUACAUCGGAAUCUACUUUUUCGUGGGGGAUAACGUAGGGAAACUUACGCUAAUACCGCAUACGACCUACGGGUGAAAGCAGGGGAUCUUCGGACCUUGCGCGAUUGAAUGAGCCGAUGUCGGAUUAGCUAGUUGGCGGGGUAAAGGCCCACCAAGGCGACGAUCGGUAGCUGGUCUGAGAGGAUGGUCGGCCACACUGGAACUGAGACACGGUCCAGACUCCUACGGGAGGCAGCAGUGGGGAAUAUUGGACAAUGGGCGCAAGCCUGAUCCAGCCAUACCGCGUGGGUGAAGAAGGCCUUCGGGUUGUAAAGCCCUUUUGUUGGGAAAGAAAAGCAGCAGGUUAAUACCCCGCUGUUCUGACGGUACCCAAAGAAUAAGCACCGGCUAACUUCGUG